GACUCGGUGGCGAAGGGUUUCGCGUCCGCUCUACUUAGAGUUGGCAUCGACUGGAAGUUCUGCGGAAGGCGCCCGUUCGAUUCGGGCCCGAGUCA